AGAAGAAGAAAAAAGAGAAAAAGGUUUAGGGUUGUGAAGAGGAGAAGAAGGAGACCCAAAGUGUUGCUCUAAAGUGUCAUUUUCUCCAAUUUUCCAUUGAAUCUUCUUAGAGCUGCACUCAAUCUAAGGUACUCAAGUAUAGCUGUGGAAGUUUGUUGCUUCAUCGAGUCUUGUUGGUGUCUCGCUCUGAUACGUAGCACUCGUGGGGUCGUUUAUAUUGUUGUUUCUAUGUUGUUAAUAUUUUAGUUGUUGUUAUUAUAACCGUUGAAUCCAAGUUGGAUACUAUGAAGUACUUGUUAUACUUCCAAGUUGUUUGAGUUGAAUAAAGCUGAUAGUUGACUGUUAUUCGAAUGCUAUGUAUCAUUGUUGAAUGAAAUACAAGUUGAAGUUUUAUGUUGA